rnacentral:rRNA from 1 species
UACGGGGGGGGCAAGCGUUGUUCGGAAUUACUGGGCGUAAAGGGCUCGUAGGCGGCCAACUAAGUCAGACGUGAAAUCCCUCGGCUUAACCGGGGAACUGCGUCUGAUACUGGAUGGCUUGAAUCCGGGAGAGGGAUGCGGAAUUCCAGGUGUAGCGGUGAAAAUGCGUAGAUAUCUGGAGGAACACCGGUGGCGAAGGCGGCAUCCUGGACCGGCAUUGACGCUGAGGAGCGAAAGCCAGGGGAGCAAACGGGG